rnacentral:rRNA from 1 species
GGGCGUAAGCGUGCGUAGGCGGUUUAUUAAGUCAGAUGUGAAAGCCCCGGGCUUAACCUGGGAACUGCCUUUGAAACUGGUAAACUAGAGUAUGGUAGAGGAAAGUGGAAUUUCUGGUGUAGCGGUGAAAUGCGUAGAUAUCACAAGGAACACCAAUGGCGAAGGCAGCUUUCUGGACCAAUACUGACGCUGAGGUACGAAAGCGUGGGUAGCAAACAGGAUUAGAUACCCUGGUAGUCCACGCCGUAAACGAUGAUAACUAGCCGUUGGGGGGAUUUACCCUUUAGUGGCGAAGCUAACGCGUUAAGUUAUCCGCCUGGGGAGUACGGCCGCAAGGUUAAAACUCAAUGAAAUUGACGGA